CAGCAGCCGCCGCGGUAAUACGUAGGGUGCGAGCGUUAAUCGGAAUUACUGGGCGUAAAGCGUGCGCAGGCGGUUUUGUAAGACAGGCGUGAAAUCCCCGGGCUCAACCUGGGAAUGGCGCUUGUGACUGCAAAGCUAGAGUGCGGCAGAGGGGGAUGGAAUUCCGCGUGUAGCAGUGAAAUGCGUAGAUAUGCGGAGGAACACCGAUGGCGAAGGCAAUCCCCUGGGCCUGCACUGACGCUCAUGCACGAAAGCGUGGGGAGCAAACAGGAUUAGAUACCCCGGUAGUCCCUGUCUCUUAUAA
rnacentral:rRNA from 1 species